AGUGAACGCUGGCGGCAGGCCUAACACAUGCAAGUCGAGCGGCAGCGCGUCCGACCACCCUCGGGUGGUCGGAUGGCGGCGAGCGGCGGACGGGUGAGGAAUGCAUCGGAAUCUGCCUCGUUGUGGGGGAUAACGUAGGGAAACUUACGCUAAUACCGCAUACGACCUACGGGUGAAAGUGGGGGACCUUCGGGCCUCACGCGAUGAGAUGAGCCGAUGCCGGAUUAGCUAGUUGGCGGGGUAAAGGCCCACCAAGGCGACGAUCCGUAGCUGGUCUGAGAGGAUGAUCAGCCACACUGGAACUGAGACACGGUCCAGACUCCUACGGGAGGCAGCAGUGGGGAAUAUUGGACAAUGGGGGCAACCCUGAUCCAGCCAUGCCGCGUGUGUGAAGAAGGCCUUGGUGUAAG
rnacentral:rRNA from 1 species